rnacentral:rRNA from 1 species
UACGGAGGGGGCUAGCGUUGUUCGGAAUGACUGGGCGUAAAGCGCGUGUAGGCGGCCUCGCAAGUCGGGUGUGAAAGCCCUGGGCUCAACCCAGGAAGUGCACUCGAAACUGCAAGGCUUGAGUUCCGGAGAGGAAAGCGGAAUUCUCGGUGUAGAGGUGAAAUUCGUAGAUAUCGAGAGGAACACCGGUGGCGAAGGCGGCUUUCUGGACGGUGACUGACGCUGAGACGCGAAAGCGUGGGGAGCAAACAGG